ensembl:snoRNA small nucleolar RNA SNORA48
ACCCCCUGACUGUGGGCAAAGAGACACAUUGGUGGUGGUGGUGUUCUGUAUCAGUCAGGGGCAGAGCAGAUAGUAGCCCUUUGUUUAUCCUAGCUUGAUGCCUGGCUUGGUGGCCAAAGCUGUUUCAUGCCUAGGGCACAUUA